AUCAUCGGUCGAAUCGAACCCUUACUUCGUUUUUUUUUCAAGGGUUCAAUAAAACUAGGGGUGUUGGUAAUGUACAACAAUGUCCUAUCUUCUUCCCCUAAUUAAAUUUUUCAGAGAACUGAAUCACUGCUGAUAAUUAAAUUUUUCCUAACAUGUUCUUCGUUUCUCGAUUAUCGUCUAAAAUACCUGAUGUUGAUAUCGAGGGUUCUGAUUCGUUUUUAUUUUGAAUUAUUAAGGGCUCUAACAAGAUUCCUAAGAUUAUUGCAGUUUAGGGUUUUAGUUAGUAGAUAGUAAGAUUCGUAAGAUUUUGCAUCUCUAUUGUUAAUUGAGAUUUGAAUUAGGUUAGUAGAUACAGUGAGAACUAGAUUAAUUGGUUACAACUUUCAUGUCCAUUGUUUGUAAAUUUGGUUUUAUAUUGAUUGUGCGUAUUUUUGGGUUUAGGUUUAAUUACUGGAAGAAGAAGUUGAAGCAUGAUGAUUUAUUUAGACGGUGUAUUAGUGGAUAAGUUGCAAAGAAAAUCUAACCCCUAAUCAUUUUGCCUCUUUCCUUCUGUUUUUUAAUUUUCCUCUUUAUUCUCAUGAGUUUGGUUUUAGAUCAGUUUAUUGCAUCAACGAAGAGUUCACAUGAAAAACUACGAAGGAAAUUGAAUGGGGGUUGUAUUUAUUGUUGUCUUAGUGAUAUUGUGGUCUCUUCCAGCAGGUCAGUUGUUAAUGAAGAUUUUAGAUCAGCUGAUUCUGAUGAAUUUUGUGGUCUUUUAGAUGAUGAGGAGGACACGUAGCUAUACAUAGCAUCGUAAACAAGAAAAUAAUCUACACUUAUAUGUUCGUCAUUAUCUUAGUAAAUGGAUAUUGAAUUUCCAAUGUGUGAAGCAAUGCAUUGGAUCAACGAGAGGAUCUCCGACUAAUCCAAGGAGAAUCUGACCUUUGCAAAAUGUUUCCGCGAAGGAAAACUAAUACUCCUUGCACUGCGAGAGCCUCCUCAGGAACUGAUGGAUUUACUUGACAGAUACGAAGCCAAGUCAAGGUUUUCUAGAGAUCACAUCCGAGAGUACAGAGUACAAAGCUUCGAUUGGUUUUACCAUCCUUGGUUGCACAUUGGAUAAGAGAGUUUUGAGGGGUAACGACCCAAAAUCCAUUGAAAUUCACGGUGAGCUUAUGUCCAACACGAGAAAGUUACUAGCCGACGAGGGCACAAGAGAUUCUGAGUAAUGUCUAUACCGCUGAACAAAAUGUCAAAUUCAUCAUGCACUAUAAGGAAACUACAGAAGAAAGGCAUUAGAACCUGCCCACGGUUGUCGAAGUUUCAGUUAUACUACCUGGAGACUGUUCUCAAAAGCCUAACUUCAAGGAUAUUAUGCUUCAUCAAAGGGGGAAAAAUGGAUUCAAAUGUAUUUCAAAGUGUCACCCUGCAUACUUUCCCAUGCAUUACGUUUAAUUCUUUCCGUA